rnacentral:rRNA from 1 species
UUUUAUUUGAGAGUUUGAUCCUGGCUCAGGAUGAACGCUGGCGGCGUGCCUAACACAUGCAAGUUGAGCGAUUUACUUCGGUAAAGAGCGGCGGACGGGUGAGUAACGCGUGGGUAACCUACCCUGUACACACGGAUAACAUACCGAAAGGUAUGCUAAUACGGGAUAAUAUAUUUGAGAGGCAUCUCUUAAAUAUCAAAGGUGAGCCAGUACAGGAUGGACCCGCGUCUGAUUAGCUAGUUGGUAAGGUAACGGCUUACCAAGGCGACGAUCAGUAGCCGACCUGAGAGGGUGAUCGGCCACAUUGGAACUGAGACACGGUCCAAAC